rnacentral:ncRNA from 1 species
AAGAUAAUUGGGCAAACUUAGCGAAAGCUAAGGACGCAAAGCUACGGGUCUAAAGUAGACAUACUAUUGAUCGCCGGGUUGCACAG